CCAGUAGUUGCAGAAAAAGAGAGAUAGAGAAAAGGAGAAGACGCAAGUUCGAAAGAUCGAGAACGAUCGAGCGAUGUGCCUGGAGUUCUUCUCAUGCUUCUAUCGCCCUGAAACGGACGAAGGGACGGAUUUUCCUUCAACAACUAAACCGAGUGUUUCGGCUCCCGCAAAAGGUGGUGGUGUUUCGAAUACAGCGGCAAUACAUCCUGCUCCAGAGUCUAAGAAGCCAGUAUCGUCCGGCGGAAUGAUCAGCUCAAAUCCGCCAAAGACUCCAAAGAUUCAGACACGGUCGAUCCCGGAGCCGAGCGUGCGAUCAUCACCAAUUCCACCAUCUAGUUAUGAUACGUUUUCGACAGUUUCAAAUUCGGUUGUAGAGUACAACGAGGCAGGGUAUAAUUGGGCCUAAUAAUUUGGAGGUAUCUUAAUUGCGCAAAAGCAUCUGCUUUGAUGUUACGAGUUUUAGAAAAUUCAAAAUCCUUUGGAAGUCUUUUUUUUCCCCACCGAUGUUCCAAAAUGAUGACAAGAACUGCUACUGAAGAAGAAUCCGAAGAAGGAAGCUUUAAAACGAUUUUGAAUUUUUCGAGUGCUAUAAGAUAUCAAAGUGGAUGCAUUUAGGCAACGUAUUUCCAUCAUAGGCUUAAAUAUUCAGCUAAUUAAGGAGUACACUGAUAGAUAGGAACUUUAGAUAAUAGUAGUGCUUUGACUUGGUAUUGUAAUCGUUUGCAAACGUUUUACGAGUAGAAACUUAGUUUACUGAUUGUAGUGGAUACACGUGAGGUAUUGGAAUUUGUAUAUUAAUUUCAGAGUGAUUCAGGAGGUUAUGUUAGUAGUUUUUGAGUUUUUGUGUGUCUGUUGUAUCAUAAAGAAAUUAGUCAAAAUCUAGUUAGAGAAUUCACAAAAUUGCUGCUUCACUUUCCUCUGUACGUAUUGUCUAAUUUGGCUUUGUUUGAAUAUCAGAACAUAGUAUUGAGUAAUAAUUUUUGUACUGUUGGGUCAGUGAUAUCAAAUUCACUUAUUAGUCUAAUUCGUUUAUUUUGGAUUUGAUUCAACUACUCAUGUAAUGGGGUAGUUAGUAAUUGGUUUGGAUUUUAGUUGACAUAUUUGGUAUAUUGGGCCAAGUAAUAUUAAGAGAGAUUCUCUUUGGGUUUAGAAAGUGAGAUUUCUCAUUUUUGCUCUUGAGGAUUCUGUUUUCUUGAGAUAGAGAAAAGAGGUGUAGAGAGGAUUGGAGAAGAAGCUCUCUUGUUUUUCUUGCUUGAUUCAAAAGCUUCCAAGGUAGAUUGGAGGAAUUCUAAGAGGCAUUUCGAAGCGGGAUUCGCGGAAUCGGAAGGUGCUUCAAAAAAUGUGUAGUAAGAAGAGAUUUUUGUUGGAAGAUUGUAAGACCAUUGUAAUAGAAUGGUAAUCUCUAACCAAAUCUUAUAAUCUCCUUAUUUGAUAGUAGAUUUGAUCUUUCCAUGCCCAUGAGUGUAGCUCGGUUUGGGUGAACCACGUAAAUCCUCUUGUGUUGUUGUGAUUGUGUUUGAAUAUUUUUCUUUCAACUUCAUUUACUCCAAUCUUGUAUAUCUUGAUUGUGGAUAAUUUAGAUACAUCACAUUUGUUUACUAGUGCGAUUAAUAUCUUGAUAGUGAGGGUUCCGUCAUUAGCUC
rnacentral:lncRNA from 1 species